rnacentral:rRNA from 1 species
AUUGAACGCUGGCGGCAGGCCUAACACAUGCAAGUCGAACGAGUGGCGGACGGGUGAGUAAUGUCUGGGAAACUGCCUGAUGGAGGGGGAUAACUACUGGAAACGGUAGCUAAUACCGCAUACCAUCGGAUGUGCCCAGAUGGGCUUAGUUAGUAGGUGGGGUAAAGUCUCACCUAGGCGACGAUCCCUAGAUGGUCUGAGAGGAUGACCAGCCACUCUUGAAUGGAGACACGGUCCAGACUCCUACGGGAGGCAGCAGUGGGGAAUAGUGCACAAUGGGCGCAAGCCUGAUGCAGCCAUGCCGCGGGUAUGAAGAAGGUCUUCGGGUUGUAAAGUACUUUCAGCGUGGAGGCGUUACCCGCAGAAGAAGCACCGGCUAACUCCGUGCCAGCAGCCGCGGUAAUUC